GUGAGGGGAGCGCCGCUGAGGGACCGGAGAUAGAGCGGGAAACCCUUAAAGUUACAAGGCGCUUUUCCCUAGACCUGAGCCUUCCUUCCAUCUCUUGCAUCAGCUAGUCAACAGAAAAACGUUUUUGUGCGUGCUGUAAGAAUUGGCUUUUUUGUGGAGCAUGGGUAAAGUUUUCAGGAAAUCCCUCCCUCCGCAAAAACGUAAUUUUUGUACCUACACUGAAUUCUAUUAGUCCGUGGUGUUCCUGGGGAAAUGCAGGAGAAACUUUUAGUGUCUUUUAACCUAGAACCUAAAGGUUCUAGAACUCUAGAACCUUCUAGUGCUUUUGACGCUCCCGGAGGUCGAGCUCGGCCGAAGGCGCGCACGAUCCGGGCCCGGGCGGGUUCGGGUCCCGCCCGGUUUCGGCCGCUGCCCGGCGCCGCAGGGGCCGGCCCUGCGCGGGCCAAGGCUCUGCCGCCCCGGGGCAGCCUCUGUGCUUCCUCUGCUUCGGGCUGGAAGAGCGCCGCUAUCAGCAGAAAGGUUACAGCCAAGUGUGGAUGAGAGCAGCUUCAGCCACCUCUGCAGUGACUCUGCUGUGUCCCCAAGGCACAAAGAGCUCUCCCUGCCUUUGUUUUCCUGUGAUGGCCAGGCUGCUACCCAAGGGAAGAGAAGAAACAGGAAAUGAAGGCACCUUGCUAAUUCCUCGUUUCACUGGAGAGCCCAGAGAGAUGCCCAUCUUUAGUGCAGCUUCAUGGCUGUGGAUUAGCACCAGGCAGCUGUGCCAGAGUAGAAGUAUCUAUUCAUUGGAUAGCUCACCUGAGUUUCUGGCUACUGACUCAUCUGCAUAUCAACUCCCACUGAUAAUGUGUUGUUGUUGUGGUCUGAUUACCAAUGAAAAGCAGACUUCUUGGAGCAGGAAUUAUUUAGAACUAGACAAGCAGAAUUCAAAACACCUGAAAGCGCAUGAAUGCUUUCAUAAAUUUUGGAAAUAAAAUUCUUGGGA